ensembl:snRNA U1 U1 spliceosomal RNA
ACACUUGCCUGGCAGGGGGGAUUUCAUGAUCAUGAAGGCAGUUUCCUCAGGGCGAUGCUUAUUCAUUGCUCUCUCGAUGGGCUGACCCCUGUAAUUUCUCCAAAGGUGGGGAAACUCAGCUACAUAAUUUGUGGUAAUGGAGCACUGCUCACACUCUCCUG